rnacentral:rRNA from 1 species
AUUGAACGCUGGCGGAAUGCUUUACACAUGCAAGUCGAGCGGCAGCACGGGGGUAGCCCUGGUGGCGAGUGGCGAACGGGUGAGUAAUACAUCGGAACGUGCCCGGUCGUGGGGGAUAACGUCGCGAAGGGUACGCUAAUACCGCAUACGAUCUGAGGAUGAAAGCGGGGGACCUUCGGACCUCGCGCGAUCGGAUCGGCCGAUGUCAGAUUAGCUAGUUGGUGGGGUAAAGGCCUACCAAGCCGACGAUCUGUAGCUGGUCUGAGAGGAUGACCAGCCACACUGGAACUGAGACACGGCCCAGACUCCUACGGGAGGCAGCAGUGGGGAAUUUUGGACAAUGGGCGCAAGCCUGAUCCAGCCAUGCCGCGUGCAGGACGAAGGCCUUCGGGUUGUAAACUGCUUUUGUACGGAACGAAAAGGAUCUGGCUAAUACCUGGGGCUCAUGACGGUACCGUAAGAAUAAGCACCGGCUAACUACGUG